UGAGGAAUCUUCCACAAUGGGCGAAAGCCUGAUGGAGCGACACCGCGUGAAGGAUGAAGGUCUAACGACUGUAAACUUCUUUUCUGAGGGAGCAUAAUGAGAGUACUUCAGGAAUAAGGGACGGCUAAUCACGUGCCAGCAGCCGCGGUAAUACGUGAGUCCCGAGCAUUACCCGGAAUCACUGGGUGUAAAGGGUUUGUAGGCUGGUAAAUAAGUCAGGCAUUAAAGACCGGAGCUUAACUCCGUGUUCGUGCUUGAAACUAUUUAUCUAGAAUCAGGAAGAGGUAAGCGGAAUUCUAAGUGUAGGGGUGCAAUCCGUAGAUACUUAGAAGAACACCAAAAGCGAAGGCAGCUUACUGGUACUGUAUUGACGCUGAAAAACGAAAGCGUGGGGAGCGAAAAGG
rnacentral:rRNA from 1 species